AACGCACGAGACCUGCGGACCUGCGGAAGGAUCAUUACUGAGUGAGGGCCCUCUGGGUCCAACCUCCCACCCGUGUUUAUUGUACCUUGUUGCUUCGGCAGGCCCGCCUCACGGCCGCCGGGGGGCUUUCCGCCCCCGGGCCCGCGCCUGCCGGAGACAAUCUUGAACGCUGUCUGAAGAAUGCAGUCUGAGCGAUUAAGCAAAAUUAGUUAAAACUUUUAGCAACGGAUCUCUAGAUCG
rnacentral:misc_RNA from 1 species